GCGGUAGCCCGGGGAAGA
rnacentral:miRNA from 1 species